GUUUAACCCUGUCACUGCGCAGACAGACACUAGCAGAAGGGUUGCAGCUGCAAUUCAGCUAGCGGAGAGACAGCAUGUGCAGGUACUGAAUGGGACCCCGUCUUCAGUGUAGGAGGGAUGGCUGAGCAGCGAUCUCAGAGCUGGGCUUGUUUGCCUCUAUAAAGAAAGACCUUCCGUCUUUUCCUUCUGCUGCAUCUGCUUUUAACCCACUGUUCGUGUGACCAUACAAAAAAGCCACUUUGCUCAAAUAAAAAUGCCUCUGUCCCCCACCCCUCCCCCAACAAACUAUUUUGCAAAGCACUGGUGUCUCAGUGCCACUGGGGUAACUGCUACCCCCUCUGCCCCUGCUUGUGCCCUCUGACUCCCUCUGCCAGCACCUCGGCAUAACUCCGCCUCCUCCCCCCCCCCAUUCCUGAUUUUUCCCUUUAGCCCCUUUCCCAAUGCUGCCUCCAGCUGCUUGUCCCCCCAGACCAGUACAUUUUCACCCCCUGCUCAGACCCUGGUCACCCCCUCCUCCGAUUCGCCCCCUUUGCCACUUUUUAACCCCUCUCAAAAGCAGUCCGCGGAAACUUACGGCUAAUAAGGACAAGGUGAAGGGCAGUGGCUUCAGCAGAUGUACUGAGCACGCUCACUACACCAUACCAGACAUGGACACACUAUUCCAGCAGAGGUCGCACCAGUGCCAAAUAUAGAGCAUCGCACUGGGAGUUCAUGUUCAGCGGAGUAUCAACCAUCAACCCGAAAUCAUUUUCAGAGUCACAGCUUCCCAGGGUAGAGUCCCCCAUUGUGUUAAUAUGUCCUAUAACCUUUGUGCCAAGAUGAGAUGGAAACAGGAGACAGACUUGUUGAAAGUCUCUAGUUUUCACCAAGAAGUGAAACUUGGUAGUGAUUGGACAUCUAAGAGGGCGAACACCAG